UACAGAGGGUGCAAGCGUUGUUCGGAAUUAUUGGGCGUAAAGCGCGCGUAGGCGGUUACGAAAGUCUGAUGUGAAAGCCCGAGGCUUAACCUCGGAAGUGCAUCGGAAACUGCGUGACUUGAGUCUCGGAGAGGGUGGUGGAAUUCCAGGUGUAGAGGUGAAAUUCGUAGAUAUCUGGAGGAACAUCGGUGGCGAAGGCGACCACCUGGACGAUGACUGACGCUGAGGUGCGAAAGCGUGGGUAGCAAAC
rnacentral:rRNA from 1 species